GCAGAAGAGAAAGGUGAUUCUGGGAGAGCUGGGAAACAGAUGGGAAAUGGGGACAGAGGGAAGACGCUAAGUUGGGUGGAAAGUUUGCCUGGAGAACUCCCACGGCUCUGGCCUCCCCUCCCCCUCCUCGUCUCUGCCGCCCAGCCAGGAGGAGGAGGAUGGUUAGCAGAGAAAUGGCAACUCAGCCGCGAGCUGCAACUAGAAACUUUCUGUCAAUGUAACAUCCGCGUGGGUGGUGGCCCAAUGGUGGUUGGGCAUCGGGUCACGUGACGACUUCUUUGUAGCUCCGGAAGAGGACUGUGAAGUUUAGGCUGCUUGGAAGAAGCAGUAAUCGGCCAGAUUUUGUUGUUGGGGCGGGGGGGGGACGGUAGGUUCGCGGAGGUUGUGGCCAAAGGAGCCAGCAGACAAAAGGUCAAUGAAUGAGAAAAACUGAGAGGCAAAGAGGCCAAAACAGAAAGACCUAUGGAGAGCCCUCAAGAGUCCUCCUCCCCGCAACUUGUUACUUAAACCUUGGCUAAAGAAGUUGGCAGAAUGUCCCAGGCUCCUGAGAACUGAAGGGGAAAAAAAUCAAGAUGUGGGGGAAUUACCCACAGAGAUGGAAGGUCUGUGUAAGUCUCUUUCACCCAACCAAAGUCUAGCCUGGAUGAACACCAGAGGAUCUUUGAAAGAAACAGGAAGGAGAAGCAAGUUCAGCAGGAAACCUUCCCCUGUGAGGUAUCCUCUCUUCCCACCACCCCCAUGAAGACAACAGCCUGACCUAGAAACUUCUUGAAGAUUUUUAACCUCCAGAGCCAGUGGAACCAGUCCCCCUCCAUCUGUGGCCCUGCUGCAGGUACCACCACCUCCAGUUCCUGUCUUUGCUCAGCCAAGCCUGGGACCUGGCCGCCAGCGGCCCCUGUUGGGCCCCCAAAUGGAGCAGGAUUGUUUUGAUUUCCUAGACCCAGCCUGUUGGUGCUGUGACCAUUUGGCUCAGGUCUCUCCCCCCACCUCUUUCUUUUUUUUUCACUGAUAUUUUCCCACCCUUUCCUUGACAUUCAGUUUUAUUUGAUUUCUCCAAAAGUAAAAAAGAAAUUGUAUAACUGCUGGACUUUUCUACAGAGAUGGAAAAAGUACUUCCUAAAAGAGAAAAUUAUUCCAGAGGAAAAAAAUCAACAAAGCAACUUGAACAAUAUUGGGUUGGAAACAGAGAGUACUCCCUGUUUACUGAGGUUCUCGGAGGCAAAAAAUACAUACAUAUACGCAAUCACUAUUUUAACAUAGCCUUUUAAAAGUGUAGCAGAAAAAUAAAGAUUCAAGCUGUUGUAGGA